GACGAACCGUGCUAACGUUGUUCGGAAUCACUGGGCUUAAAGGGCGCGUAGGCGGGCACGUAAGUCAGGGGUGAAAGCCCACGGCUCAACCGUGGAAGGGCCUUUGAUACUGCGUGUCUGGAGGGAGGUAGGGGCGUGCGGAACUUCCGGUGGAGCGGUGAAAUGCGUAGAUAUCGGAAGGAACACCGGUGGCGAAAGCGGCGCGCUGGACCUCUUCUGACGCUGAGGUGCGAAAGCGUGGGGAGCAAACAGG
rnacentral:rRNA from 1 species